rnacentral:misc_RNA from 1 species
AUGUAAACAAGACGUCGCGGUUUUCUUUUACUUUUUUGAAUUCGACUUAUAGUGACGAUGAGCAGAACGGUGUGGCAUAUGGAUCCAAAGUAGGGUUGGGCACCCAUGACAUGAUACCAAAUACGGUGGACCCAAGCUACUUAGUUCUCGUCAAAAGGUCAUCAAGGCAAGAUCCGACCUCCAGUUCAACUGUAAUAACCUCUCCCAAUAGACGCUGUCAGCGCGCUCGUUGUGGAGGGCGUAGAGGGUAAACAAUGGAGGGUAUAGCAAAGGAAGGAUAAUGGGAUGAAGUAAGGCACUGCUUGAUGUAGAGAUCUCAGUGUGGAUGUUGGACACACCGCCAAAAGAGUCUUUAUCGAGGUGUACGUAUUCCUCGUUUGGUAGGUCGACGAAAAGAAGGCUAGUGAGGAAAAAAAAA